UGAUGGAUAAUUGGUUAA
rnacentral:miRNA from 1 species